CCCCUAGAUGUUCUGGGCCGCACGCGCGCUACACUGAACAGUUCAACAAGUCUUAACCUUGGCCGAUAGGUCUGGGUAAUCUUUGAACGCUAUUCGUGAUUGGGAUAGACCUUUGCAAUUAUGGGUCUUCAACGAGGAAUUCCUAGUAAACGCAAGUCAUCAGCUUGCAUUGAUUACGUCCCUGCCCUUUGUACACACCGCCCGUCGCACCUACCGAUUGAAUGGUCCGGUGAAAUCUCGGGACGGCGGCUUGGUCGCUUGCGUCCGACUGCUGAAACUUGAUUAAACCAUAUCAUUUAGAGGAAGGUGAAGUCGUANCA
rnacentral:rRNA from 1 species